rnacentral:rRNA from 1 species
UACGGGGGGGGCAAGCGUUGUUCGGAAUUAUUGGGCGUAAAGCGCACGUAGGCGGUUUGUUAAGUCGGAUGUGAAAUCCCUCGGCUCAACUGAGGAAGUGCAUCCGAAACUGGCAGGCUUGAGUACUAAAGAGGGUCGCGGAAUUCCCGGUGUAGAGGUGAAAUUCGUAGAUAUCGGGAGGAACACCGGUGACGAAGGCGGCGACCUGGGUAGAUACUGACGCUGAGAUGCGAAAGCGUGGGGAGCAAACAGG